rnacentral:rRNA from 1 species
UACGUAGGUGGCAAGCGUUGUCCGGAUUUAUUGGGUUUAAAGGGUGCGUAGGCGGCCCUGUAAGUCAGUGGUGAAAUACUCCAGCUUAACUGGAGGGGUGCCAUUGAUACUGCAGGGCUUGAGUGGAGUCGAAGUAGGCGGAAUUGACGGUGUAGCGGUGAAAUGCUUAGAUAUCGUCAAGAACACCGAUAGUGAAGACAGCUUACUAGGCUUCUACUGACGCUGAGGCACGAAAAGUGUGGGGAUCAAACAGG